rnacentral:rRNA from 1 species
AGUGAACGCUGGCGGUAGGCCUAACACAUGCAAGUCGAACGGCAGCACAGUAAGAGCUUGCUCUUACGGGUGGCGAGUGGCGGACGGGUGAGGAAUACAUCGGAAUCUACUUUUUCGUGGGGGAUAACGUAGGGAAACUUACGCUAAUACCGCAUACGACCUACGGGUGAAAGCAGUGGAUCUUCGGACCUUUCGCGAUUGAAUGAGCCGAUGUCGGAUUAGCUAGUUGGCGGGGUAAAGGCCCACCAAGGCGACGAUCCGUAGCUGGUCUGAGAGGAUGAUCAGCCACACUGGAACUGAGACACGGUCCAGACUCCUACGGGAGGCAGCAGUGGGGAAUAUUGGACAAUGGGCGCAAGCCUGGUCCAGCCAUACCGCGUGGGUGAAGAAGGCCUUCGGGUUGUAAAGCCCUUUUGUUGGGAAAGAAAAGCAGCAGGUUAAUACCCCGCUGUUCUGACGGUACCCAAAGAAUAAGCACCGGCUAACUUCGUG